AAUGAACGCUGGCGGCGCGCCUAAUACAUGCAAGUCGAGCGAGAAGACGUAGCAAUACGUUUGUAAAGCGGCGAACGGGUGAGGAAUACAUGGGUAACCUACCCUCGAGUGGGGAAUAACUAGCCGAAAGGUUAGCUAAUACCGCGUACGCUUCUUGGACUUCGGUUCAGGGAGGAAAGCGAUACCGUGGGUAUCGCGCUCUUGGAUGGGCUCAUGUCCUAUCAGCUUGUUGGGAGGUAACGGCUCACCAAGGCUUCGACGGGUAGCUGGUCUGAGAGGACGAUCAGCCACACUGGCACUGCGACACGGGCCAGACUCCUACGGGAGGCAGCAGUAAGGAAUAUUGCGCAAUGGGCGAAAGCCUGACGCAGCGACGCCGC
rnacentral:rRNA from 1 species